AUGAUAAGUAUAAAGAACUACUAUAUAUAUAUGAACAAGGACGUAAAUAUGGUUACACCAGUAAAGCCAUGGAAGAUAUAUGGAAUAAAGUGCAUAAACAAAUGGAAAAGCCCCACAAGCCAAAACCCAUGGAACAACCAUACCAUGACACACGUACGUUCACAAGUAUUACGUAUUACAUGCAUACGGAUAAGGUCCUCAACAAAGCUAUGAGAGGAAAGACACGAAAAGUAGUUUGAAGAAGGGGCCAGACAAUAUUUGACACCAUACGUAAUGAUAAAGACCCUAUAGAAGAAAAUAGGAAAGCUGGUAUUUACUCAAUACCUAUAUAUAGUGAAAAUGAGGACACUGUACGAUAUUAUAUCGGUAGCACUAAGAGAAGUCUUAACACAAGGUUAAAGGAACGUAGGGCCGGCAUACAAGCGGCAAGUCUGACUGCAGCCCUGGCCAGCGUAGCUUACGAACAAAAUGUG
rnacentral:lncRNA from 1 species